UAGCUCACUAGUCGAGUGACCCUGCGCCGAAAAUGUACCGGGGCUAAACAUAUUACCGAAGCUGUGGAGUACACCUUUAGGUGUAUUGGUAGGAGAGCGUUCUAAGGGCGUUGAAGGCAGAUCGUGAGGACUGCUGGAGCGCUUAGAAGUGAGAAUGCCGGUAUGAGUAGCGAAAGACAGGUGAGAAUCCUGUCCACCGAAUGACUAAGGUUUCCUGGGGAAG
rnacentral:rRNA from 1 species